rnacentral:rRNA from 1 species
UGGUCUUGACAUCCCGGAGAUCUUCUGGAAACAGGAGAGUGCUUUCAUUAGAGAGAAUCCGGUGACAGGUGCUGCAUGGCUGUCGUCAGCUCGUGUCGUGAGAUGUUGGGUUAAGUCCCGCAACGAGCGCAACCCUCGCCAUUAGUUGCCAUCAUUUAGUUGGGCACUCUAAUGGGACUGCCGGUGUCAAACCGGAGGAAGGUGGGGAUGACGUCAAGUCCUCAUGGCCUUUAUGACCAGGGCUACACACGUACUACAAUGGCCGAAACAAAGGGCAGCCACAGAGCGAUCUGGAGCGAAUCCCGUAAAUUCGGUCUCAGUCCGGAUUGGAGUCUGCAACUCGACUCCAUGAAGUUGGAAUCGCUAGUAAUCGUGGAUCAGCAUGCCACGGUGAAUACGUUCCCGGGCCU